AAAUAUACCAAAUAAUUGUGUUUGCUCGCAAACGAAAAAAAAACCGACUUUAAUUACAUCGACGAGUAAUACAACGUAGAUCGACGCAAAAAUAGUCAAGUAACUACGCGUUAUCAAAGAUUACUCAAAAAGUAGUUAUCAGAUCUCAAUAAUUUAUAAGUGACCAUAUGACAAACAUCAGCUAUCGAUUAAAUUAAAAAUUAUCAAAAUCGGUACACCCAGUAAAAAGUUAUUGCGGAUUUUCAAGAAUUUCCCUCGAUUUCUCUGGGAUCCCAUCAUCAUAUCCUGGUUUCCUUAUCAUGGUACUAAAUUUGGGAUAUCCCCUUU
rnacentral:misc_RNA from 1 species